rnacentral:tRNA from 1 species
GCCGUUGUAGCUCAGUUGGUAAGAGCGUCGGGCGUGUAUUCCGAAGGUCGCAGGUUUGGUCCCUGCCAGCGGCA